ensembl:lncRNA
AGGAACAGGUUAAUGUUAGUGGAUUACUCAGGAACAGGUUAAUGUUAGUGGAUUACUCAGGAACAGGUUAAUGUUAGUCUAUUACUCAGGAACAGGUUAAUGUUAGUCUAUUACUCAGGAACAGGUUAAUGUUAGUGGAUUACUCAGGAACAGGUUAAUGUUAGUGUAUUACUCAGGAACAGGUUAAUGUUAGUCUAUUACUCAGGAACAGGUUAAUGUUAAAGUGGAUUACUCAGGAACAGGUUAAUGUUAGUGGAUUACUCAGGAACAGGUUAAUGUUAAAGUGGAUUACUCAGGAACAGGUUAAUGUUAGUGGAUUACUCAGGAACAGGUUAAUGUUAGUGGAUUACUCAGGAAC